AGCAGCCGCGGUAAUUCCAGCUCCAAUAGCGUAUAUUAAAGUUGUUGCAGUUAAAAAGCUCGUAGUUGAAUUUUGGGUUUGGCCAAUUGGUCCGUUCUUGUAACGAGUACUGGUUGGUUGGGCCUCACCGCCUGGUGAUACGUAAUGUCCUUUAUUGGGUGUUGCGAGUAGCCAGGACCUUUACCUUGAAAAAUUAGAGUGUUUAAAGCAGGCUUAUGCCGGAAUACAUUAGCAUGGAAUAAUAGAAUAGGACGAUGAUUCUAUUUUGUUGGUUUCUAGGAGCAUCGUAAUGAUUAAUAGGGAUAGUUGGGGGCAUUAGUAUUCAAUUGUCAGAGGUGAAAUUCUUGGGUUUAUUGAAGACUAACUACUGCGAAAGCAUUUGCCAAGGAUGUUUUCAUUAAUCAAGAACGAAAGUUAGGGGAUCGAAGACGAUCAGAUACCGUCGUAGUCUUAACCAUAAACUAUGCCGACUAGGGAUCGGGCGAUGUUGUUUCAAUGACUCGCUCGGCACCUUAUGGGA
rnacentral:misc_RNA from 1 species